UCAAGCAUACUAACACGGAUGCGGUGCAGCUUAUCCACUCCCUUUUUCAAACUUUCGUUGAUCUUCAGUACAUCUUGAAGUUCCAACACUUGGGGUUCAAGUCUAUCGACGAUUCUCUUGAAAGUGGAUCACUUGAUUAUAAGCAGCAAUAACUUUUUAUCCUUUGCAUAAGCAGCGAAACGAAGCUCAGAAACUGCAAACUCAAGAUCUUGAAUCUAAAGUAUGUAACAUCCAAUCUUCUUCUUUAAACUUUCAUACUUAACUUGGAUCGCGUCAAGCCUAGUCUUCAAGUCAACGAUCUCGUGGCGAGCGGUCUCAAGCUGCAGAGAAUUGGGGGCAGAAAUAUUAGACCCCUUCAAAGCAACAAGCUUAGAAUCCAACCUCUUGAUCUCCUCGUUUGAGGAAUAAGCUUCAGCUGCCAUAGUCUUCGCAACCUCCUUGCCAGCCUUGUUGUAUAUACAUCAUAGCAAGCAGAACAGUCAUUCUAUAUUGGGUCGUAUGCUUUGCAAAGGAACUUGGGCAAACAACCUUUCUACUGCCAUCAACAAACUUGGCACAAGCAUCCAUGUUUUCAAGCUGAUCUAGCUUCAAAGCACACAGAUCUCAGCAGCUUCCCCAAAAGCAGACCUAGUGAAUUUUUCACAGCUACCCAUGCAAGCAGUCUCUUCCUUCUUAGCAGGAUCAGUCUCAGCAGCAAAGGGAGUGGGCCUUGGCGCCACAUUAGUAGCAUAGUCCACCUUAUCGCUCUUUAUAAUAUCAAGCCUCUCCAAAGGUGAACCGGACUUAGCUCCCAACAGACGUCUUGGUACAAAAUUCGGCACUAGGGGCAUGACAAGACCUUUAUGCUAAACAAUCCUAUCAGCAAUCGUACUAGCCAUUCUUGGCAUG
rnacentral:lncRNA from 1 species